rnacentral:rRNA from 1 species
UACGUAGGGUGCGAGCGUUAAUCGGAAUUACUGGGCGUAAAGCGUGCGCAGGCGGUUCGUUAAGUUCGUUGUGAAAGCCCCGGGCUCAACCUGGGAACUGCAAUGGAAACUGGCGGGCUUGAGUGUGGCAGAGGGGGGUGGAAUUCCUGGUGUAGCGGUGAAAUGCGCAGAUAUCAGGAAGAACACCAAUGGCGAAAGCAGCUUUCUGGGACGGUACUGACGCUGAGACGCGAAAGCGUGGGGAGCGAACAGG